GAUGAACGCUGGCGGCGUGCCUAAUACAUGCAAGUCGAGCGAACGGACGAGAAGCUUGCUUCUCUGAUGUUAGCGGCGGACGGGUGAGUAACACGUGGAUAACCUACCUAUAAGACUGGGAUAACUUCGGGAAACCGGAGCUAAUACCGGAUAAUAUUUUGAACCGCAUGGUUCAAAAGUGAAAGACGGUCUUGCUGUCACUUAUAGAUGGAUCCGCGCUGCAUUAGCUAGUUGGUAAGGUAACGGCUUACCAAGGCAACGAUGGAUAGCCGACCUGAGAGGGUGAUCGGCCACACUGGAACGGAGACACGGUCCAGACUCCUACGGGAGGCAGCAGUAGGGAAUCUUACGCAAUGGGCGAAAGCCUGACGGAGCAACGCCGCGUGAGUGAUGAAGGUCUUCGGAUCGUAAAGCUCUGUUAUUGGGGAAGAACAUAUGUGUAAGUAACUGUGCACAUCUUGACGGUACCUAAUCAGAAAGCCACGGCUAACUACGUG
rnacentral:rRNA from 1 species